rnacentral:miRNA from 1 species
CUCCACAGGCUGUCUUGAACAGGGAGUACUCGCAGCGUCCUAGCAGGCAGCCUGCCAAAUGCAGCCCUG